rnacentral:snoRNA from 1 species
UGAUCAUUUAAAAUGUACAUACAUUUCCCUGUGGGGACCCAGUGUGUAAUGCUUGCUAACAAUUGCCUUUUUGUAGCGCAUGCAACCUGUUGCCUGUAUGGGUUGCCCUAAGAGACCUUGCAGACAAUU